UGUUAAGCUUUUUAGAACUGUGCAAUGCAAGUUUUUGUAUCAUGUUCAGACUCUCCCUCUUUAAAAUUCCAUGUGAUAUGUGUGCUCUAACUGCAGACCACCUCCACUUAAAAUCCACUUUGAAACACUCUAUAAAUAUAGCAUAGCAAAGAAUAUUUGUUAUCUGACCUUUGACAUUGAACCACCUUGGAAUGAAUGUAGCUAUAAAUCUUUUUGGCAUAUUUCUCUCUGCUCAAGAGCUGUUGAAGCACCAUCAUUUCUCUCAUCAAGGUUUGAUAUCUCAGCAUAACUUCAAAAACCAAUUAAUAUUUGCCAUCUUUGUUCUGCAACUUGAGUUCAACUUACAGAAUGGGAUGAAAGCUCACAUGGCUAAUAUUUCUACUAGUUCUUUGCAUAAAAGAAACUUACACAUCAUGCCUCAAAGUCAUGGAAACUGUAUCAAGUUUUACAUUUAAGUAUUGUACUGCCGGAUCUGGUCAAGAUUUAUGAACUGUAAGAGUAUUCUUAAGUUGGGUCAAUCAAAGAAAUGUUUGCCGAGCACCUCUCCUCUGGGUCAGCCCUGAACUGAUUAGAAAUGGGGGACAACCGUGGACGAUACCUUCAGGGAGCACAGAUCCGAUGGAAGAUGCCAAGGUGAGCAGUGCGGAUUCAGGGUGAGAGUAGCUCUUUACAGAGGUGUGUACCAAGUGCUCCCAGGCUGUAUUUGGAGAGUAUCACCCAGGAGGGCAUGUUUGAGCUGGUCUUAAAAGAUGAAGGACUCCAGGCAGCCAUACAAGAAAAGGCACUCGAGGUAGGGAGAAGUAUGCACAAAGCACCUGGAGCGCGGGGGAAGGUGGUAUGUUCGGGACUAGACUGCAGUGCUGCGAGGCUGGUGCACUGGGUUUGCGGGACAAUUUCAGGAGAUGAAAUGCAGGAAGCAGCCUGAGGUUGGAGGGGCUGAGUCUCCUUUAUCUUUGUGCCUUUAGAACAAGGGCUGGAAAACACUAGGCUCUCAGAAAACGUGUGGAAUGUGGAGAGCAUUAUACCUUACAUACCAAAGACUCCUAGUCUUCCCUAGAACCUGGUAGGUACAGUAAAUAUUUAUAAGUGAAUAAUUAUUUAUGAAUAAUAAGAAAAUAUCACGUGUCCAACCUCAGGAGGUAGAGUUACACGCUUUCAGAUACAGCUUCUAAGGUGACAAAGACUAUCCUGAAAAGGUAGUUUUUUACCCUGAUGUCACAGGUUUUAAAAAUUUGUUAUAGUUUUUAUGUGUAGCUCCUAAAACUGACAUCAACGUCUGGACUUGUGUAAUCAACAUCUUUUUGGAUGCACUAAACCCACAUAUAAACCCAAAGUUUAUGCCUAUUUCUUUUCUUUCAUGGACUACAAAUAUCUAUACCAUUUAUUUUUCUUUCGAAGGGCACAGAAACUUGAAAGUUUUCCUUGGAAAUGGAUCCUAAGCACUUGUUUUAAAUAGUUCUAAUUUGGUAAAAACACAAACAUAAACAAUGAAAUUGGUGAUUUUCUAAUUAUUGAGUGCAUUUUCUCAGAGACUGCCAUUAAGGACAGAUUUUGUCUUUUAGGCCCCCAAGUAUCAUUUGUAUGUAUUUUAAAAAAAAAAAAAAAAAACUGUGUGUCCUGAACCAAAGUCAGUUAAUCUCUGAAACCUUUCUUCCCCCUAAUCAUUGUGAAUGAGCAUCUUCUCAAUAUUCAAGCGAUGGUGACUCUUGUUUCUGCCUGCUAAAGAUGUAUCUCAACUUUGCAGAUUUUUUUUUUUUGGCUGUACAAUGGAACUUGGAUACAUUGUAAAUUAACUUUCUCUAGGAAUCAAAGAGUAACCUCUGUGGACCUCAGCUUGCCCAAGGAGGACUGAGGAGACAUCUCCAAUGCUCGUUCUGCCUGAGCUGACCCAAACACUUAGAAGAAUAUGACAUGAAUCAGUAACCAUAUUUCCUGUGAAAAGUACAACUGCAACUGACCAUCUGCGCUGGCACGUAGUCAAGCGAUUGUCCCAGGCAAG